rnacentral:rRNA from 1 species
GGAAACGACUGCUAAUACCCAAUAAGCCGAGAGGUAAAAGAUUUAUCGCUCGAAGAGGGGCUCGCGUCCGAUUAGCUAGUUGGUGGGGUAAGAGCUUACCAAGGCAGUGAUCGGUAGCUGGUCUGAGAGGACGAGCAGCCACACUGGGACUGAGACACGGCCCAGACUCCUACGGGAGGCAGCAGUGGGGAAUUUUCCGCAAUGGGCGAAAGCCUGACGGAGCAAUACCGCGUGAGGGAAGAAGGCUUUUGGGUUGUAAACCUCUUUUCUCAGGGAAGAAAAAAAUGACGGUACCUGAGGAAUAAGCAUCGGCUAACUCCGUGCCAGCAGCCGCGGUAAUACGGAGGAUGCAAGCGUUAUUCGGAAUUAUUGGGCGUAAAGCGUCCGCAGGUGGUACUUCAAGUCUGCUGUCAAAGACCGAAGCUCAACUUCGGGCAGGCAGUGGAAACUGAAGAACUAGAGUACGGUAGGGGUAGAGGGAAUUUCCAGUGUAGCGGUGAAAUGCGUAGAGAUUGGAAAGAACACCAGUGGCGAAGGCGCUCUACUGGACCUGUACUGACACUCAGGGACGAAAGCUAGGGUAGCGAAAGGGAUUAGAUACCC